AGCGAACGCUGGCGGCACGCUUAACACAUGCAAGUCGAACGAAGGCCCGGAGCUUGCUCCGGAUACCCUAGUGGCGGACGGGUGAGUAACGCGUGGGAAUCUACCUUACGAUGGGGAAUAACGUUUGGAAACGAACGCUAAUACCGCAUACGCCCUUCGGGGGAAAGGCUUCGGCCGUCGUUAGAGGAUCCCGCGUUCGAUUAGCUAGUUGGUGAGGUAAUGGCUCACCAAGGCGACGAUCGAUAGCUGGUCUGAGAGGAUGAUCAGCCACACUGGAACUGAGACACGGUCCAG
rnacentral:rRNA from 1 species